GACGAACGCUGGCGGCGUGCCUAACACAUGCAAGUCGAACGGGGUAAAUUGCUUCGGUGAUUUACUUAGUGGCGAACGGGUGAGUAACGCGUGAGAAACCUGCCUCUCAGUGGGGGACAACAGUUGGAAACGACUGCUAAUACCGCAUAAUGUUUCGGAAGGGCAUCCUUCUGAAACCAAAGCUUUAUGUGCUGAGAGAUGGUCUCGCGUCUGAUUAGCUAGAUGGCGGGGUAACGGCCCACCAUGGCGACGAUCAGUAGCCGGUCUGAGAGGAUGAACGGCCACAUUGGGACUGAGAUACGGUCCAAACUCCUACGGGAGGCAGCAGUGGGGAAUAUUGCACAAUGGGCGAAAGCCUGAUGCAGCAACGCCGCGUGAAGGAUGAAGGCCUUCGGGUCGGUAAACUUCUGUCCUUGGGGAGAAGGAACUGACGGUAACCCUUGGAGGAAGCCCGGCUACUACGUG
rnacentral:rRNA from 1 species